rnacentral:sRNA from 6 species
UUGCUAUCUGCGAUAUGGAAGAUUCGAGCCUGCCGCAGGUUCGGGUCUCACGUAGUGAGACAACGGAGCCGCUUGCGGCGACGGCCCGAAGGGCGAGCAAAGCGAGUCAUCCUGCACGACCCACCA